UCCCACUCCCUGAGACCCUAAUCUGUGAUGUUAAAUUGAGUUCUCACAGGUUAGGUCUCUCAGGUGCGGG
rnacentral:pre_miRNA from 13 species